AUGGCAUUUUCGUUUCGUUUUCAGCUUUGCGAUCGUCUAUCAAAGGACCAGGUUGAAGUGCGUAAUUCACUUCGAACGAGCUGUCAAACCACAUAUCUAAGCUGCAAAAAGAGUUGGUGCAAAUGCGACUCAACCACGAGGCUUGAAAUUGCUGCUCUCAAGGGCGAGAAAAGAAAUGGGAAUCAACACAGGUUUCGCAACAGGGUUUUAGAGACGGUCGCGAGGAAAGACGAGCGCAUCAGUCAAUUACAAAGGAUCUAGCUGCUGCCUUAAGCCGAUGCCAGUCACUUGAAAGAAUAUUGGAGGACAGCAUGGAAGUCAUUCUGACAGUCGCACAAGUGUACUCGCAUUGGAAUUUUUUCCGCGGAUUUGUAAAAUUAGUUUUAUGAGAUAUCACCUAAAUUCUUCUAACAUAGCAUACAAUCUUGCGGCAAGAUUGAUAUUGCUUGUGCAGGAUUGUGUAUAAUGAUGCAGCAACCUUGCCGCAAGCCUACCGCAAGGUGUUGUUCCACAAUUUUUAUGGCGAAUCUGCAAGCUUGCUGCAAGCUUUUGAACAAGCCUCCGGUAAAAUUUUAAAAUUUUCUAAUCAAUCUCAUCAAAUAUUGCAGAGAGCUUACGCUUGAUUUCAUAAUUUUACUAAGGUUGACUAUCAAGUUUUUGCUGCAAUGUUGAUGUAUGAUUGCUCUAAGGUUGAUAUUCGGUCGCAUACGGGCAGGAUUGCAGGAAGCGGUGGUAUUUUGAUGAGAGUUUGAAAAAUUUGUUAAUCUGCAAUUUUUAUGCAAAGUUGAUACCAAUUUCUUGGAAGUGCUAUCCAGUGGCAUGACCGCAUGGCUGCAAUUCUGACUCGAGAUGGCGUUUAUCGUUAAACCUCAAAUAAAAACUGACUAUAUUAUAAAUAAACAAAAAAUAAUGGGUACCAAUACGUUGUGGUAUGUACCACUUGCGAAACGAUGAGUUACAGAGUGCGAUUCGUUUUAUGUCUGAAGUCAAAUUAAGUCGAAUAACCUCCAUUUCAUCGUUUAAAAAUUCACGAUCAUGUUUCUUUUUUUCUUUUUUUCAACGAAAGCCAACGAAAAUAAAGAACCGAACAAAAAAUCCAAAUGAAAAUGUUUUCGCAUUUUAGCCAUCGAGAUAUGGGAGGGGGGGGUGGUGUGAAAGCUGUCCGGAAAUGGAAAUCUUGCGUCAGAGGAAGGCUACACAUCGCCAAAAAUUCUCUAAAAUUGAUUUAAUUUCACCAAAAGUUUCCCUGAAAGUGGUCAAUCUUGGUAUGUAGGGGAUGGGGCGAUCGGUCCCUUGCGGUCUUCAAAUGACGCUAUCUGCAUGUUAACUUCUAGCAAUGUUCAAUCAUUUUACAUUUUGUUAGUACAGAAGGCGUUUACUUCGAUUGAAACGAACAGAAUAUGAUGAAGCAGCUAUAUCGAUAGCUAUAAUCGAUAUAUCGAUUAGAUUCAAUUAAUUCUUCUGCUUUGGUUUUCAUUAUUCGAAUCGCAUAGCUCAUCUAACUUCAGUUUCUUUACCUACAGAAUGUUCCUUCUCUACUCAGUAAGACUCCUUGUUAUUGAUGUUAUUACCUAUUUGUUGAAUUUUUAAUUUCUCUUGUAUUAUUUAGAUGUUAUCAGCCCGAUGAUGGUGCUAUUAUGUACGUACCGAGAAACUUCGGAAAAAUAUAAUUAAAUAAACAAUGCAUGACAUUGAGACUACCAAUUUAUUGAUCCGCAGUAUGGCCACACCCUUCCCUACCCGAAAUGACACAUCAGACUACAUAGUUAUUUGCAUUUAUUAGCAACGGACAUAACUAGAACAGGUCUUCAUUCUUUAGCUCUAUGGUAUGUAGUAGUGUUCCUUAGUUAUUGAGCGCAACAACAACUCAACGCUCAUUGCGCCUGAGGAAUGCAACUAUUCGUGUUCAAUAGAUGUCCGGGUUGCGUUUAAGAAUAAUGCGGGCGCUGUGGUUUUUCCUCUGCCCACAGAAACCUAAGCGAUUGGCGUUACGGUCCUGCACGCUGAAGUCAUAGCCUUACUCCGAUGAAACGGAAAAAAAAGAAUGAGAAAAGAAUGAGAAAAAAUUUAGGAAAAAAUUAAUUUGACGAGGAACAUACUUAACACAAUGACUAUCCCCAGUAGCGACGAAAAUGAAACAACUGGUGAAUAUGAGAUACGUCUUGAAGAAGCUGAGUCAAAAGAAACCCUUUUUGCUACUUUUUUCCGGUAAAAUUUAUGAUACGGAAUAUUUAAGUAUGAAUAGGGUUCGAAAAUUCUACGAGAUCUAUGCUUUUUUAACGCUUAAACUGUUCAAGAUAGUUGUGCUCAUUC
rnacentral:lncRNA from 1 species